rnacentral:pre_miRNA from 14 species
AUCUUAGGAGUGAAAGACCCCCAAAGUGGGGAGACCCUCACUCAAGUCUCGGGAUAACUCGACCCCCCAAGAACUCACACAAAGAC